rnacentral:rRNA from 1 species
AAUCAACGCUGGCGGCGUGCCUCAGACAUGCAAGUCGAACGCGAAAGGCCCCUUCGGGGGCCCGGUAGAGUGGCGCACGGGUGAGUAACACGUAGGUAAUUUGCCUUCGGGUGGGGAAUAACAGCCGGAAACGGCUGCUAAUACCGCAUAAUGCAGCGGCUCGACAUCGAGACAGUUGUUAAAGCGGGGGAUCGCAAGACCUCGCGCCUGAAGAGAAGCCUGCGGCAGAUAGCUUGUUGGUGAGGUAAUGGCUCACCAAGGCGACGAUCUGUAACCGGCCUGAGAGGGCGGUCGGUCACACUGACACUGACAUACGGGUCAGACUCCUACGGGAGGCAGCAGU